rnacentral:lncRNA from 1 species
CGGGGUCAGACAGCGCACCGCGGCCCGGCCUUUCGCGGGGGUCCUCGGGGAAGAGAGAGGAGCGCGGGCUUCUUCGGAGGCCUGAGCGGGACGCAGCCUGCAGCCCCUCCCCGCACAGGCUGCCCCCGACCCGCCGCUAGCGCAGCUCUGCUGGGAUCCGGCGCCUUCCCCGGCUGUCCUCGGCCUCCCGCACGCUCCGCGGGAGGAGCCGCCGGCGGCCGUGACGCGUCAAGGAGGAAACGCCGGCGCCCGGCGGCCCUGCCGGGAAGGAGGAAGCGCAGUGCGUUCGGCUCGGCGCCCACUGCGCCGGGAGCAGCACCGCGGGGCCGGGCACAUGUAAUAGUGUUUCUUUGCUUUGUUUCUGUACAAGAUAGGACUGAAGAUUGUCUUUCUCUCUGGUCUGCAGAAGGGCCUGGACAAUCUGAAUUCUGCCAACCUCUUCAGUUCAGAACCAGCUUGACCCCAGGCCCCAUCACUCUGCGAGUCACCACAGUCCUCUAG